rnacentral:lncRNA from 1 species
CAGGAAUCCCUUGGGAGGCCAGAGCAGGGGAGCCACAUGGCGGGAGUUGGGUCCUUAAAAGACCAUUCUGACUGCUCACUGGAGAAAAGGGCACGAGUGGGCUCGGGUGAAACGCGUGCUACAGAGGCUACGGUACCAGUCCAGGCAAGAGGAGAUGGGCAGAAGCAAGCAGAGUCUGAAAUGCCAUUUAUUGCUCCCUGCUGAGGGAGGCCAGCAGGAGGUGAGGACUGAGCCAACUCCCAGCCUCCGGGAGGAUCUCCCAGAGAUGCUUCAGGAAGUAAGCUGGCACUUAUGGACCCUGGAUCGGUGGGGAGAGUUAACUGGAACUCCUGAAGAAUUAGUGGCUGGUGCUUUGCAAACCCUGCGUGAGAUGGGUCUCGUGGGUUUUGGCCCAAGCUGUGUGACCUUGGGUAACAGCACAGUGAGUAAUUUGAGCAAUAAACAUCAUGCAAACCUGGCCCGCGGUGGGACUGACGUGAUAGGGUGUUCUCUGGCUCACGCUGGCCCCACGAGAGCGAGCCAGGCUCAUACAGCAAUCACUCACCCCUGCAGAGGGCACAGGUCAGUGAAUCACUGCACGUAGGGCUCUAAGGGCGGGUGCUACGUGUUGGGACUCACCUCACGAGCUACCGGUGUAUCCCAGAGCUUCUCCUUCACCCAUGAUUCGAGAAGUCUCUCUGUUCACCCUGAUACACCCUCACACACCGGCCGCCUCACCGCACCCUCUGGACAAUGUUCCUCCGCACCAGAAACCCACCCGCACCUGACACCUUCGUUUGUCCCAGACCAGCCCCCAAC